rnacentral:rRNA from 1 species
UGGUCAAGUUAUUAAGGGUGCAGGGCGGAUGCCUUGGCACUAGGAGCCGAUGAAGGACGUGAUAAGCUGCGAUAAGCUUCGGGGAGUUGCACGUAACCUUUGAUCCGAAGAUUUCCGAAUGAGGAAACUCACUUAGAGUAAUGUCUAAGUAUCAUUAAGUGAAUACAUAGCUUAAUGAGGGGAACUCAGGGAACU